CUACCAGCCGCAGGAACGGCAGCAGGUUGUGGGCCCCCCGGCCCGAUAGCGCUGCAGCGGAGGCCGAAGCCAUGCGGCCACCGGUCUGGCAGAUAUUCGAGGAAGAAAUAUUGCUUCUGCCUGCUGUAUCUUCAUAGAUUAAAAAAGAAGUUAAUAGUUGACCUACAUCAGUGGUCCUCAACCUCAAGGUAUUUCUUCCAAGACUCACAGAAACUCUGCAAGAUUGCCUUCGCUUUAUGAACAAAGAAACUAAGGUUCAGAGAACUGAAGCAACUUUCUCAAGGAUACCCAACAAGGAGUUAAACAUGCCACAUAAUUCAAACUAUGAUUAUUUUAUUCUGAAGAAAAGAUGGCCUCAAAAAAAGCUGUUGAGAGCAGCUCUAAAGGCAGAAGAAAUCUGUGAGAAGUGAACCUGAAUCCAUCAGGCCAAAGCAACAGCCGAGGAAGAAGAGAGGUGACCAGCAGGGAGAAGCCUGAGCUUUGUGUGAUGCCCUGUAGAUGUGGUCUUUCCAGAAGAACAUCGUCCACAGUGACCAACCAAAAGUGUGGGGAGCACAGAGAAGAAAAG